AUGCCGUGGUUGGAGCGCCUGAGCGAUGCGGCUUAUAGCCUGCACCAUAAGAAUGAAACCGGUAUUAUUGUCUGUUCGGCACUGAAACGGCGUU
rnacentral:tRNA from 1 species